AACUGUAGGGUAUAGUUUAGUAACAUUUAUUCUGUUAUCUUUGUUUCCGUCUGAAUCAGAACCCUAAGUGAAGGUUUAGGACGAUGUAACGAAGUUCUACGAUUAGGCUGUUAAACCGUUUCUCAGGGUGUCCGUCUUUUACAGAUGUUCCAUUCUUUUUUGGUGUAGUUGUCGAGGGAGCUGGAUCUGUUUCUACUAGCUAGGUGGUUGGAUGGGUUCCGAUUUCUUUUCGGAACCUGAAAAAAAAUUCAGAAUAGUUUAUAAACCGGCAUGAUCUGGAAAUCUCCUUCAAGCAAUCUAACUGGAGCGGGAGCAGAUAUUUUCUAGCCUGGUCCCAAGAUGAACGGACUGGAUUCCGAGGCUUUAAUUAGUAUGCCGUCUCAGCAGAAGCGGG